UUUGUUUGUUUGUUUGUUUUUUCCUAUUAUUUCUUUAGUAGCCUACCACAAAAAUUACAGGAGUUGAUAUUACCGAAGGCUUCAAAAUAUUGAAUUUUAUCUACACAUGAUUAGAAGUUUAUGGAGGUAGGUAUGUCAGUCCCCACAAAUAAUGUGCUGAUGCCUACAGCUGAUAUGGUUUUAGUGCUCUUAUGGUUAACCAGAAAGCAUCUCUGCCUUUAGUUCAUACUUUUCUCAUCUUUCCUUCUUAUUCUCCCCCCCCAGAUAAACAAAGGAUGAUCCGUGAUGGUGUUAUAUCCAUGAAGCCAAAGACUGUGUGUGUGUGUGCAUGCAAGGGAAUCGAGUUAUGAUAUUUCUAAAUGGGAGGUGCAAGAUCAUUCUUCCAUAUACGUGCUUGAUCAUUUUCUCCUGCACUGCUGGCAGUGAGUGAUGCUGUACACCUCCUUCGGAGUCCCUGAAACUGCUGUUUGCUAAACACUGGGAAUUUUUAACUUCUUGGUAGUCAGAGAGCUACGCGAACCAUGGAGCCAACUGGAGUCUCACUAUUUAUGCUAUGCUACUGGAACCUUUUGCAGCUUUCUAGGAGGCACACUGAAAACUCUGCUUCUCCUCAUUCUUCAUCAUCCACACUAGAUCUUCCCUUCAACAUACCACUCACAGUCUUCUCUUCAGCUAUUGCUGUCCUUCAAGUGUCUAAAAGAAAUACUUCUACAGAAGUAGUUGGCAGAUAUUUGUUUGUGACUCAGUCCUCUGGUUAAAAUUUGCUAAUGGGUGUGGAUAGCCUUGUCAUCCUGGAUGUUCCUGUCCCCCUGGCUCACCUUCACUACUGAAUAAUCUGCAGCCUUUCAUCUGUGCAGAAAGGAAGUGUUGUGAAAUCCCCUGUGCCAUCUCCAAGCUGGCUCCUAGGUUAAUGAAAAGAGGAGUGUCUCCAUGCUUCUGUGUGUUGAAGGAAUGACAUCAGCAUUAGAAGAGAUAGCGGAGUUGCCCUGGUAAUGGAUUUGCCCCAUAGAUCAUUACAUGUCACCAUGUCAUCAGAAAUCAUCUGUCAACAGCUAAGAUUUUAGCAGCUCAUAUCUUACCUGCACUGGAGGAAACCCAAGGAAGACAGGAGUUUGUUAUGUUAUGUGAAGGGGAGCUGUCAUUAAUGAACUCCUUUUAAUUGUCCUGGGUGACUGAGAAGAUAACACCCUCAUAGGGGAGUUGGAAAAGCAGGAUCUCAACGCUGUUUGCUGAAGAGGACAGAGCCAUUAUCCUCUCUUGGUAAUUCCACAUCCUUUCCUGGGUUGUGCGUUGCUUGAAGAUCCUCUUAUGGUACCCAGAAUAUUCUUAGUCAAAAUUAAGUUUUCACUUACUGGAAACACUGUGGUCUUGUAGAGGCUGAAGAAGAUCUUCUGAUAUUCUUAGGGAAUGAUAAAAGUUUCACUGAAGUUGCAUCUGGUUCUUGAAUAAACAAGAUACGGGAAGCUGCACGAAAAAAAAGAGUUUUUGUCUUCUCUCUCUGUUUCAAGAAAGCAAUGAAAGCCAGUCUGCUUACAUCCCUGCUGGAUACUGGAUCUUGUGACCUCUGAAAGGUGGCAGCAAAAUGCCUCUGACUGAAGAGACCCUCAUGUAUGUUCUUUAGAGGUCCCCAUCUGCAAGUGCUAGAAGAGUUUGAAUAUGCCAUGUCCACUUUGAAGACAACAAAGAACUUUUCAUCCAAGAGAAGGUUCGGAACAUCUAGCCAUGAGACAAGGAAUCUUCUGGCUGGAGCUUUUUGUAAUCCAUGGGAUUAUUUUUUAUAUAAAAGGCAAGAGGUACCACUAGGAGCUGGCAUGGAUGUGGACUGCACAUAAAAAGAUCAGCAUCUGAUCAGC
rnacentral:lncRNA from 1 species